UUCCGGUUGAUCCUGCCGGCGGGCACCGCUAUGGGAGUUCGCUUAAGACAUGCGAGUCGGCAAGUGAAACAGAGGCGGACGGCUCAGUAACACAUGGAUAACCUGACCUUGGGUGGAGGAUACUCUCGGGAAACUGAGGAUGAUACUCCAUAGGUCCGGGAUGCUGGAAUGCUUCCGGGCUGAAAGCCCCGCGGCCCAAGGGUGGGUCUGUGGCCUAUCAGCUUGUAGGGGGUUCAACAGACUCCCUAGGCUUCGACGGGUACGGGCUAUGGGAGUAGUCGCCCGGAGAUGGACUCUGAGACACGAGUCCAGGCCCUACGGGGCGCAGCAGUCGCGAAAACUCCACAAUGUGGGAAACCACGAUGGGGGAACUCCCAGUGCGUGCGCUUUGGGUACGCUGUUCUCUUGUCUAAAAAACAAGAGGAGUAAGGGCUGGGUAAGAUCGGGUGCCAGCCGCCGCGGUAAUACCCGCAGCCCGAGUGGUGCUCAUUAUUAUUGAGUCUAAAACGUCCGUAGCCGGUUUGGUAGAUGCCUGGGUAAAUCGUGGCGCUUAACGCUUCGAAUUCCGGGUAGACCGCCAGACUAGGGACCGGGAGAAGUAGGAGGUACUCCGGGGGUAGGGGUAAAAUCCUGUAAUCCUCAGAGGACCACCAGUGGCGAAGGCGUUCUACUAGAACGGAUCCGACGGUCAGGGACGAAGCCCAGGGGCGCAAACGGGAUUAGAUACCCCGGCAGUCCUGGGUGUAAACGCUGCAGGCUUGGUGUCGGAGGUCCUACGGGGACGUCCGGUGCCGGAGCGAAGGUGUUAAGCCUGCUACUUGGGGAGUACGGUCGCAAGACUGAAACUUAAAGGAAUUGGCGGGAGAGCACCGCAACGGGAGGAGCGUGCGGUUCAAUUGGAUUCAACGCCGGA
rnacentral:rRNA from 1 species